rnacentral:rRNA from 1 species
AGAGUUUGAUCAUGGCUCAGGAUUAAUGCUGGUGGUAUGCAUAACACAUGCAAGUCGAACGAGUGGAACUUGUUCUGCUAGUGGCGAACGGGCGAGUAAUACAUAUUUAACUUACUUUUACGAGGAGGAUAGCAGCUCGAAAGGGCUAUUAAUACUCCAUAGGUUUAUAAACUAAAUUAAAGAGGCUCCUCUGGGGCCUUGCGUAAAACUAGGAAUAUGUCCUAUUAGGUAGUUGGCGGGGUAAAGGCCCACCAAGCCAAUGAUGGGUAGCUGGACUGAGAGGUUGAACAGCCGCAAUGGGAUUGAGAUAUGGCCCAUAUCCUACGGGAAGCAGCAGUGAGGAAUUUUUCACAAUGGACGAAAGUCUGAUGGAGCAAUACCACGUGAACGAUGAAGGUCUUCUGAUUGUAAAGUUCUUUUAUUUAGGAAAAAAAGCGCGCUAGGAAAUGAGCGCGCCUUGAUGGUACUAAUUGAAUAAGUGACAGCUAACUAUGUGCCAGCAGCUGCGGUAAAACAUAGGUCACGAGCAUUAUCCGGAUUUAUUGGGCGUAAAGGAAGCGUAGGCGGGGAGGUUGAUCCAUUGUUAAAAGCAUUUGCUUAACAAAUGUGUGCAUUGGAGAUCGCCUCCCUAGAGUUAAUCAGGGGGUACUGGAAUUCAAUGUGUAGCGGUGGAAUGCGU